rnacentral:rRNA from 2 species
UGGGGAAUAUUGGGCAAUGGGGGAAACCCUGACCCAGCAACGCCGCGUGAAGGAAGAAGGCUUUCGGGUUGUAAACUUCUUUUGUCAGGGACGAUAAUGACGGUACCUGACGAAUAAGCCACGGCUAACUACGUGCCAGCAGCCGCGGUAAUACGUAGGUGGCGAGCGUUAUCCGGAUUUACUGGGUGUAAAGGGCGCGUAGGCGGGACGACAAGUCAGAUGUGAAAACUAUGGGCUUAACCCAUAGCCUGCAUUUGAAACUGCCGUUCUUGAGUGAUGGAGAGGUAAGUGGAAUUCCUAGUGUAGCGGUGGAAUGCGUAGAUAUUAGGAGGAACACCAGUGGCGAAGGCGACUUACUGGACAUUAACUGACGCUGAGGCGCGAAAGCGUGGGGAGCAAACAGG